UGACACAGCAACGCCGCGUGAGUGAAGAGGCCUUCUGGUUGUAAGCUCUGUCAAUAUAGAAGAAAAUGACUUCGGGCCCUGACGGAACUAUCUCAUUUAGCACCGGCUAACUCCGUGCUUAAUUCGUGCCGGUACGGAGGGUGCAAGCGUUGUUCGGAAUUAUUGGGCGUUGGCGUGCGUUGCGGACUGUUAAGUCUGAUGUGAAAUCCCGCGGCUCAACCGCGGAUCUGCCUUGGAUACUGGCAGUCUUGAGUCCCGGAGAGGAGAGCGGAAUUCCUAUUGAAUAGGUGAAGUUCGUAUAUAUUAGGAGGAACACCGUUGGAGAACGCGGGUCUCUGGACGGUGACUGAAUCUGAGGUACGAAUGCAUAGGUAGCACACAGGAUUAAAUACCCUGGAAAUCUAUGGCGAAAACGAUGGGCACUAGUCGUUGCGGGUAUUGACCCCUGCGCUGACUAAUCUAACGCAUUAUGUGCCCCUCCUGGGGAGUACGGCCGCAAGGCUAAAACU
rnacentral:rRNA from 1 species